rnacentral:rRNA from 1 species
AAAUAGAUCCUGAAACCGUAUGCUUACAAAAAGUAGGAGCCUCGUAAGGGGUGACUGCGUACCUUUUGUAUAAUGGGUCAGCGACUUACAUUCAGUGGCAAGGUUAACCGAAUAGGGAAGCCGUAGAGAAAUCGAGUCCGAAUAGGGCGAAUUAGUCGCUGGGUGUAGACCCGAAACCAAGUGAUCUAUCCAUGGGCAGGAUGGAGGUGCCGUAACAGGUACUGGAGGUCCGAACCGACUAAUGUUGCAAAAUUAGCGGAUGACCUGUGGAUAGGGGUGAAAGGCUAAACAAACUUGGAAAUAGCUGGUUCUCUCCGAAAACUAUUUAGGUAGUGCCUCAAGUAUUACCUGCGGGGGUAGAGCACUGUUUUGGCUAGGGGGUCAUGGCGACUUACCAAACCAAUGCAAACUCCGAAUACCGCAGAGUACAGCUUGGGAGACAGAGCACCGGGUGCUAACGUCCGGACUCAAGAGGGAAACAACCCAGACCGCCAGCUAAGGUCCCUAAAAUUGGCUAAGUGGGAAACGAAGUGGGAAGGCUAAAACAGUCAGGAUGUUGGCUUAGAAGCAGCCAUCAUUUAAAGAAAGCGUAAUAGCUCACUGAUCGAGUCGUCCUGCGCGGAAGAUGUAACGGGGCUAAGCCAGUUACCGAAGCUGCGGAUUUGCAAUUUAUUGCAAGUGGUAGGAGAGCGUUCUGUAAGCCUGUGAAGGUGCGUUGUAAAGCGUGCUGGAGGUAUCAGAAGUGCGAAUGCUGACAUGAGUAGCGUUAAAGGGGGUGAAAAGCCCCCUCGCCGUAAGCGCAAGGUUUUCUACGCAACGUUCAUCGGCGUAGAGUGAGUCGGCCCCUAAGGCGAGGCAGAGAUGCGUAGUUGAUGGGAAACAGGUAAAUAUUCCUGUACCGAUGUGUAGUGCGAUGUGGGGACGGAGAAGGUUAGCUCAGCAGACUGUUGGAUAUGUCUGUUCAAGCCUGUAGUCGUGCCUGGUAGGUAAAUCCGCCGGGCUUAGAUGAGGGGUGAUAACGAGGAUGCUUGCAUCCGAAGUGAGUGAUACCCUGCUUCCAGGAAAAGCCACUAAGCUUCAGCUACACACGACCGUACCGCAAACCGACACUGGUGCGCGAGAUGAGUAUUCUAAGGCGCUUGAGAGAACUCAGGAGAAGGAACUCGGCAAAUUGACACCGUAACUUCGGAAGAAGGUGUGCCUUUAGUAUGUGAACCUGUACAAGGGGAGCAGAAUGAGGCCUCAGAGAAUCGGUGGCUGCGACUGUUUAAUAAAAACACAGCACUCUGCAAACACGAAAGUGGACGUAUAGGGUGUGACGCCUGCCCGGUGCUGGAAGAUUAAAUGAUGGGGUGCAAGCUCUUGAUUGAAGUCCCAGUAAACGGCGGCCGUAACUAUAACGGUCCUAAGGUAGCGAAAUUCCUUGUCGGGUAAGUUCCGACCUGCACGAAUGGCGUAACGAUGGCCACACUGUCUCCUCCUGAGACUCAGCGAAGUUGAAAUGUUUGUGAUGAUGCAAUCUCCCCGCGGAAAGACGGAAAGACCCCAUGAACCUUUACUGUAGCUUUGUAUUGGAUUUUGAACAGACCUGUGUAGGAUAGGUGGGAGGCUUUGAAGCCGGAACGCUAGUUUCGGUGGAACCAACGUUGAAAUACCACCCUGGUGUGUUUGAGGUUCUAACCUAGGUCCAUUAUCUGGAUCGGGGACAGUGCAUGGUAGGCAGUUUGACUGGGGGCGGUCUCCUCCCAAAGCGUAACGGAGGAGUUCGAAGGUACGCUAGUUACGGGUCGGACAUCGUGAUGAUAGUGCAAUGGCAUAAGCGUGCUUAACUGCGAGACUGACAAGUCGAGCAGAUACGAAAGUAGGACAUAGUGAUCCGGUGGUUCUGUAUGGAAGGGCCAUCGCUCAACGGAUAAAAGGUACUCUGGGGAUAACAGGCUGAUACCGCCCAAGAGUUCAUAUCGACGGCGGUGUUUGGCACCUCGAUGUCGGCUCAUCUCAUCCUGGGGCUGUAGCCGGUCCCAAGGGUAUGGCU